ensembl:snRNA U6 U6 spliceosomal RNA
UUGCUUUGGCAGCACAUAUGCUAAAAUUGGAACGAUACAGAGAAGAUUAGCAUGGCUCCUGUGCAAGGAUGACAUGGAAAUUCGUGAAGCGUUCCAUAUUUUU